rnacentral:lncRNA from 1 species
UUUGCCCUCUUUCCCUCUCCCUUUGCUUCAGCCGAUCGGGCUAUCUCACCGUCCACCGUAUCGCCACUAUUUUCGGUGCCUGGCGACGCGCGACCAUGGGUAUUUAAACCCCGCUUGGGAGCCCUUCGAAGGCCAAGCACCUCGACGUCCUUUGGGAGCCAAGAGAGAAACCCGUGGCCCUCUCCUUCGAACCUAAUAGCCACGAUGGAGAAGGUUCUCCGGCGACGCGUCCGUGGUUUCAGGUGAGGUUUCCUUAUUUCUUUACUUUUACUUUUGUCUAUUUUCGUAUAUAAAAAAGAAAAAUAAAAAACAGAAUAAAUGAACUCAGAUCUUAGAACGAAAAUGAAAAUCAACCUUUUUUGAUUUCUUGCUACCCUUUGUUUAUGUUUGUUUCGAUCUCUAAUAUCUGUGUUACAAAAUCUUUUUUUUCUAUAAAAAAAGAAGAACCCCCUUUUAAACACCCCUUUCUUCAAUCGGGUUCCUUCCAAGGCUUUAUAGCCGAUUUCGCUAUUGUUUCUCUGCUAUCUCUUUUGCUGUUUGCACAUGGUUUUUGUCUUUUUGCAUCCUCUUUUCUUGCUUGUUUGCAGGCUUUGAGGGGUGUCAGACGCAUAGAGGAGAGGGGCAUGCGUGGGGCGUGCGACGGCGGUAGUGCGCAAGGUGGCUAAUGGUUGGCCUAGAGGUUCGGCAGCACACCUGGGGGCUGAGCUGCGGCUGAAGGUUGAUUGCUAAAAAAUUGUAAGAUAGUUGGGCUAGGGUUUUGAAUUGGGCUUGGGUAUUGGGCUAAUUUGUAAUGGGUUUUUGUGUGUGUGUGUGUUUUUUAGGCUGGUAAUUGGGUUUUAGUUGGGUAUUAGGUUUAUUAUUUAUUGGACUGUUUUUGUUGUUUUUUUUUGUGAUUUGGGCUCGGGCUAAUUAGUUUUAUUAUAUCGGGCCCGGGCAAAAUUGGGCCCGUACAGUCAUAUACAAUUAGGCUCUAGUAAUUGCAAUUAUGUCCAAAAGCAUUGUUUCGAUAGUUCGCAAUUACUUAAACAUGGAGUCAGUCUACAAGAAGUACCUUGAUUGAAA